UUGGCUUCUCCUUCCGCCUGCAUCAUCGCUUCUCUCUCCGUCCUCUGCUGCUGCUGCAUCAUCUUCUUCUUCUCGUCGUCGCUUGAUUUUCCCGUCGAUAGGAAAUCUGCGAAAAUCGAGUCACAGGAGGAAGUUCUUCCUUCCGGCAGCAUCAGCUGUGCUGGAUGAGUCCCCUGUGUUCGACCCGUCGCCCGGGUUCCAAGAGUCUCACGAUGUCAUCGCUCCCUUGAAGCUGAACUUGCUUAUGAAGAUCAUCAAGAGCUAUGGUAAAUUUCCAUGCUGGUUUUCCAACGGAUUGAUUUCCUUAGCAUAGAUUUUGAUAAUAUAGUGGAGCGUUAGUUUGGUACACCAUGGCCACUUCCACAACCAGAGGCCACUGAUAUAUUAGCUCAUAAAUUUGAACUUAUUGGUAUGUUUAUCCAACCAGUCUCUACCUACUUGUGUUAAAGUUGAUGUUAAUAUAAUUUCUUAUUUUUUUCUUAAGUCCAUUUUUAGACUGUACUGAUCUAAAGGCAUGUCCGGGGAACAAUGAAACAUGAUUUGCUCUUUUAUAACCUUGAAAUACAGUCCUUAUUGAUACUUUGCAAUUUGUAAAUUGUUGUUAUACAGCAUACACUAUGCUGUUGUGAUAUUGAGGUAUACAAUACCAAAAAGCAUUUGAGGCAUGCAGUAGCUGUCCAAGCUUACUUUGAGGUGCAAAUUAAAACCUUGUUGCUGCUUCCUUAGUCCUAGAGAAAAAAAUGAACUUGCUUUGUAUCUGCAAGCACACUUUCCAGUCAGAGUGGUUGUGCAACGCCAUCCAAUUGUUGAUAUAAAAAAAUGCAAACCUCAAGAUCUUUUUUUUAUCACAGAAGACUCAGAACUGAGAUAAUUGAAGCCUUGGAAAAGAUUAAGAAGAGUUUGACUUUCCAAAAACUAGGUUGGAAAUUGAAGCUCGUAUAUCAUUUGAAGGUGGGGAUCAAUCUAUUAAGAAAGAUCUUGACUUUCUCUAUAGAUUGACUACUUCUCUUAUAUACUAGAUUGGUACAGAAAAGUACGAGCACCAAAGCACAUGGAGAAUGAACCAAACAACAAGAGGCUACUACUCUUACCUUCUUUUAUUAAUUUUUCUCUUAUUUAGGUGAGAACAUGUAAAUGGUAAUAUUUUAGGUGACAAUCUCAAAAGAUGACACUGUAAUUCUUGAUGGAGCUGGUGACAAAAAGGCUAUUGAAGAGAGCUGUGAGCAGAUAUGAUCUGCAAUUGAAGUAAGCACAUCCGACUACAACAAAGAGAAGCUGCAAGAGGUGUUGUCAAAACUUUCUGGUGGUGUUGCUGUGCUCGAGGCCCCUGGUUUUGGGGUGAACAGGAAGGCUAGUUUGCAAGAUCUUGCUACUCUCACUGGUGGAUCUGUUAUAACGGAAGAACUUGGUAUGAACCUUGGGAAAGUUGAGUUCAACAUGCUUGGCACAUGCAAAACGGUGUCAAUCUCAAAAGAUGCCACUGUAAUUCUUGAUGGAGCCGGUGACAAAAAGGCUACUGAAGAGAGAUAUUGGAAUUAGACUUGGCUGGAGUAGAAACUAUGCCUCAAAGGACAUCAGAUUUGGAGUUGAGGCUCGUGCUUUGAUGCUUCAGGGUGUGGAAAAUGUUGCUGAUGCAGCCUGAAGUGUGCAGGUAGCUCCAAGUAGACAUUUUUCAACAUAUUCAGUGACAUCGCGCCGGUUCCCUAUUCCUUGCUGUUCGAGGCUAAGCUGGACUCCAGAGCAAAACCAUCCAACAGUUGCUUAUCUUCCGAGCUUCUGGAUGAUCGCUUCGUCCUUCACUGCUGAUGAGGGAAAUAAUGGCGACAAGACGGGCUGACGUCACCUGUCCCAUCACGCCUCAGCACUCGGUCAAACUGAUCAGAACGUUGACCGAGGCACAUUAAUGUCCUGCAAAAGCCAAGUCCAACACGCUGACCAAGUCCAACACGCCAAGUCCAGCUUGUCCCCUGCAAGCGUGCAGCUCAAGAAGCAGAAUGCUUCCCUAUAAAUACCCUCUCCUUUAGAAGGAGCAGAGGGGGAUAACACACUUACUCCACAUUUGCAUGGAACCAUCUCUUCCUCCAAAACCCCCUCCACAUCGCUAACUCGGCUGUCGGAGGGGUCAGGCCGAGCGCCUCGGUCCGACCUUUGUGCAGGUACACGCCGAAGAGACGGUCAGACCACGCCCCGAUCGGGUUGCCGCGGGCGCUUCACCAAAGACAUCAAGAAGCUCUACCUGUGACCCUCGACAUCCGGACCCCUGAACCGAGCCGUACCGCCCCGAGGUCACGGCCUAAACAGGUGCGGACCGCAUCAACUGCCAUCACUGGACUGCCUACCUCAGCUACCUCUCAUCCAUGAAUACCAUGAACCUGAUGCUUCUGUUUCUUCGGCUAUGCUUUCCUGGAAAUGGGUGGUACUGGAGAGUGGGGUCGAAAAUUCAUCAGAUCAUUGCAGCUCUUCAAAUUUUGUGAAGGUGACGAGGACCGGAAUAGUAGGAGCGAUGGGAAUGGCCAACUGAAAUUGAUGGCAGAGAAAUCUAUAGUUUAAUACUUGAGAAAGUUGAAGCAGCCUAAGCCCAGUGUUGAAUCAUGAGAAUUUGCUAUUUUAAUCCUGAGUUAUAUCUUAGAUGCAGCAAUUGGAACAUAGCAACCAAAUGUUAUAAAUCAAUAGAAAGUACUUCUUUUCAUUCUGUG